rnacentral:tRNA from 1 species
CAGGUUAUAGUUAGAAGUACAGUAAUGGUUCUGUUACGUUGAAUUAUCAUUCGUGAAAGUCGAAUUAACCUGA